AAGCGCUUGUGACCAGACUUGGGCGCGGCGGAUCAUCCGGGGUUCUCCCCGGUGCACUUCGCCGCGCCUGGGCCAGCAUCAGUUCGCCGCGGGGGAAAAAGGCUUCGGGAACGUGGCUCCCCCGGGAGUGUUAUAGCCCGCUGCGAAAUACCCUGCGGUGGACUGAGGACCGCGCAUCUGCAAGGAUGCUGGCGUAAUGGUCACCAGC
rnacentral:rRNA from 1 species